rnacentral:lncRNA from 1 species
AUGCAUCUGUCUUCCUCCAGGCACGAGUACAGGCCGUGGACGGGGGCGAGACCGGCCAAGAGUGCGAGGAGAAACCCUCCAGCUCAGUACUCCAGUCCGGGGACGGAGGCCACAAAAGUCCCACGUGAGACCAGCUACCAGGCCGCCUACAGCGGGGACGCCCAGAGGUCCAUAGGGCCGCAUCAGGGGGAGCACAUCAUCCCAUCCGCCAGCACCUACAUACAACCUGCUGCCGUCCCCCAGCCCGUCCCCACCGCCCUGCAGGCCGGCAGCACACCGAGCCCCUCCGGCCUCCAGCAGAGCAUCCCACCCGAGAGGGCUGAGAUCAGCGGAACGACCAAGGGAGAGGAACAUCUGGUAAGGACCAAGCUCCCUCCCAACCCGUCCGCCGUCUUCCAAAGCGGAUCGAGGGUCUUCAACAUCUGACAGCUGCUCCCCAAUUUUCCAACCAUUCCACUUCGAUCGGUUUCAGUUUUAAGGAAUCAACAGGGGAAUGAUUUCCAGUCCAUUCCACAAACACAAGAAUCUAUGCAAGGGAAUGUAUUGUUGUGAAGCCUGUGGAGCUGCAGCGUCAGUAUCCCUCCUCCUCCUCCUCCUCCUCCUCCUCCUCCCUUCUCUUUGCCCCUGUUCGCUGUGGAAAUGAACAUGCAUGUAACGAAAUAGUUUUAAAAACAAGCUUUUUUUUUUGUCGUUGUUUUGUUAUAGAUGCACACAAGAAACUGCCUGCUCUGUGUGGUAGUGUGUGUGAGUUUGUGUGUGUGUGUGUGAGUGUGUGUGUCCUUCUGUUGUACAUGAUGUUGAGUCUGCUCCAGUAACGAAUGACGCGGUCGGUGGUUAAGUGUGUAUGCUUAAAGACGUCGACCCCCUCGGUGUUGCUAGAAAUCUGCUUGAAAAAAAAAAAAAAAGAAAAAAAGAAAGUUAUUUAUUUCCUCAGUAUUCAGUUAGUUUGCUAUUUUGAGAAAACAGUAUUGUUCGGUCUAUUAUUUUGUAAAUCUAUUGUUAAAAGAAAAAAAAUAAAAAGCAAAUAAUCAUGUAAGUGAAAUUCCAAUAAAAGAAUAAUAGGUUCUUAGCACUUUCUAUCAGAUGUCACGCUGCUCGUUUUCUUUCUGUGACGCACAGUUCAGGCCGGUGUUCGUGUUUCAGAGGAUUUGAUGAAUAGAUGACUAAUCACAGUCAUCUGCUGUUAUACCAAAGGUCGACUAAUGGGAAGGUAGAUGUUCAAAAGUCGCAAAAAUUACAGCUGACUAGCAAUUUGACGAGCGUGACUGGCAAUCACAGGAUAUUUAUGUUCGUUUGACUGCCCCUUUUCUCUUUAUAUUCAGUGUUCAUUCAGCAGUACACUCAAAUCACAAACACAACAACAACUGCCUCAACAGAUACAACUAAAACGAUGGAGGUGAAUACAAAUUUGGUUAUGGUUGAAUUCAAGAGAAGUUUCAAUGAGUAAUUCUAGUAAAUAUGCUUGUUUGGCGUCUUUUGGGGAGUUAGGCGAGAGACCAACGCCAUUCUCCAUGUCCUUGUUAAGUAUGGCACAAAAGAAAACAAGGUGGUUAGCUUAGCUUAGCUUAGCUUAGCACACAGUAAAGGCUUAAAGGAUAACUCCACCAGUUUUACAAAUUAAAGGUUGUUUACAGAUCCGUGGAAACACAACACCAGUGUAAAGCCUUCUCAGGCUCCAGAGGAAGCUGCAUGUAAUCAGAUGAGCUGCCUUCCAGUGAUGUCAAUGGCAGGUGCAUCAUGGGUAAUGUAGGCGCCAGGUUCUGAAAAGCAGUCUACCGCUCUAGCGUUGCACUCCUAUAACACUGUUGAACUCAUUAUGGGCAGCAGAACCAGAGAUAUCACCGUUUAUUCCACGCUUUCUUUUCUCUCGUAUCUUUUCAAAACCCAAUGCCUACAUUACCCACAAUGCAAUUCAGCCACUGAGUGACAUCACUAGAGGCAAUUGUGCAGCUUCCUCUGGAGCCACAAAAUGCUUUAUACUACUUUUUCACAUAGGUGGCUCUCCCCAAAACCUGUACAUAUACCUUAAUGUGUCAAAUCUGAGAAAGUUGCAGUUCCCCUUUAAGACAAAGGGAAAGAAUCGAACCUUACUUAUUAAAGUGACUCAGGAAUUAACUCUCCUGUCUUUAAAGCAUUUUGUUCCCUGUCAACCACAGUUAAGUACAGAAUAAAUCAAAUUGGAUACAAUCAUAUUUGUUUGCCUUUGGACAGAGCUGAUUUCCCACGGCUACCUACUUCUUUACACUGGGCUAAUUAUCUUUGGCUAAUUCAGAGCAGACAGGAGUGCUAUCGAUCUUCUCAUCGAACUCUCAGCCGGAAAGCAAACAAGACCACUUCCCAAAGUGUCUAACUAUUUUUUCCGAGCAGCAGAAUUCACCAGCAUCGUCUCUUCGAGGAAGCGAUGUUGCCGUACUCUAGAUGAUCCAGAACCUCUCUGUCUGUCAUCUGUUUAACAAAGUAUCAAGUCGUUCCUAUGAAAAAUGUUCACAAUGAGCUCUGAGGAUUAUCCUGACUGGCACUGAUACUGUUUGACAGACGGAUCAGUCUCAGCUGUACUGAAGUGGCUGCAGAAGUCUUAUAUGCCACCAACUCAGCUCUGGUUCUUGAACAAAUUCUGGGUAAGACUCUUAUAACCUUGGUGUCAUCCAACAAACUGGGGUUUCCACCGGUUUCGACUGGAACUGUUGUAAUAAUGAACGCAUCAUCAAUGGAGGGUAUUGCACAAUACACACAACACUCAGUUCACACUUCAGGUCAAGGAAAACCGGCUAUUUUUGGGUCCAGGUGGGAACCAGGUUCUAAACAAAUUCACUUUAUUUGAAAUGUUCUGAAUGGUUCAAAAUGUUGGUGCGCUAACCAGAAUAGAACCAGCUUCAUGUUGUUGUACAAGCUCCCAUAGAAAGACUUUCAGGAUUAAACCAAACUAUAUGUGGCUCAAUAAUGAGAGGUUAGGGGGGAAAUGUGUUUUUACGUAAUGGUCCUUUAACUGGUGUGAGCAUAUGAGAUUCUCCAGAUAGUCGUCUCCAGUAAAUCCUCAUAUGUUAAUAAAACAAAUCAACAUGUUCAACACAAGACACGUGAAUAAUGAAAUAAUACAACCAGCAGUUUUUCUUUGUUUAUUACAAGAAUAUUGAUUAUAUUUUUGGUUUGCACUGAAACAUGAAAAUACAACGGUGUCUUCUACACUAGUUUGGUUGCACAGGCAUCACAACCACUCAGGCCAAACACUUCCACUCGUCCACAGUCAUCCACACAUUAACAUAAUGCAAAGCUCCACAUGAAACAGAAUUACUACAUCAGCUGACGAAAACACAAACGAGCACUCACAACUCAUCAAAUUCAAUAACGUUCUGUGAUGACUACAUCCACUAUCCACAUAUUCACAUAUUCACACACUCACACACACUCGCUGCUGUUUGGGCGUUACUGUUUGCAGGGUAAAAAAAUAAAACAGGAUUUUGAAAACACCAUCUAUUUCAUAUUGGUCAUACACACUGUGUACAUUACGUGACAGAUACAUUAACAGUUGUUAAACAGAACACUUAAAAGCAGUUCUUUCAACUGGCUAUCAAACCUGAUUGGUGAGGGAGAGAAGAUAAAUAUUUAGAGUGAUGUCUUGAAUUCAUAUCGACAGUAACAGAUUUGAUGAAAUCUCAACUUAAAAACAACCAACUUGCCUCGGUUACCUCUUCUGAAGAGGUUUUGAAAACAGCUGUGAGCCAUAAUUACCUCUGCCAGGUAACACUGAAAUACAUCAAAGGGUGUUCGAAAUGACAGAUCAGAAUCUUCUCUGUUUGCCUCGCCCGAAGCUCCCGCCAGACAUGGAUACAGACUUCUAAUACUCAUUAGUGUUUCCACCUCGCUGUAAAUCUGCUCCACCUCUGCUGGUGAACCAAAUCUUGUUCCUAGUUCAGGGAGAACGUCCCAGCAGGAUGAAGAACGGAGGGGACAGCUGUCGCAUGUUCGCGUUUAGUCCUGUAAGUCACUCAGGCUUCAUUUCCCCGGUGACUAGCAGGCUGUCUGGCGGGAAACACUUCAUCAUUAAAAUAAUCUUGUUCUGAGGUAAGCGAGAGCAAGACAGCAUCUCAAAAUCAAAUAACGCGAGUCCCACAAUGCGGCUUCUCUCGAUAGAUUAGGACUAAAAUGUUACAAUAUACCCAGAGUGUUAGAAACAUUUGUUAUUCUGCUGCUGUGAGAAGCAAGCUGAGCCCUUCUAUGAUCAAGUUAAUGAAUACAGUACAUUAGUUAUAACUCUGUAACCUGAGGCAGCAGGACUACUUCCAGGUGUGAAGCUUCACACAGUAGCGCUGUCAGUUCACCAAGUCUCUCCAUCGUAAGCAGCAGUUCAGAUGGUCCUCACAUCCCCGUUUGUGUCAGUCACCAUGUC